rnacentral:rRNA from 1 species
UGCGUAGGUGGAUACUUAAGUGGGAUGUGAAAUCCCCGGGCUCAACCCGGGAACUGCAUUCCAAACUGGGUAUCUAGAGUGCAGGAGAGGAAAGCGGAAUUCCUAGUGUAGCGGUGAAAUGCGUAGAUAUUAGGAGGAACACCAGUGGCGAAGGCGGCUUUCUGGACUGUAACUGACACUGAGGCAUGAAAGCGUGGGUAGCAAACA